AGCGAACGCUGGCGGCAGGCCUAACACAUGCAAGUCGAACGAAGUCUUCGGACUUAGCGGCGGACGGGUGAGUAACACGUGGGAACGUGCCUCUAGGUUCGGAAUAACUCAGGGAAACUUGUGCUAAUACCGAAUGUGCCCUUCGGGGGAAAGAUUUAUCGCCUUUAGAGCGGCCCGCGUCUGAUUAGCUAGUUGGUAAGGUAAAGGCUAACCAAGGCGCCGAUCAGUAGCUGGUCUGAGAGGAUGAUGAGCCACAUUGGGACUGAGACCGGGCCCAAACGCCUACGGGAUGCAGCAGUGGGGAAUCUUGCGCAAUGGGCGAAAGCCCGACGCAGCCAUGCCGCGUGAAUGAUGAAGGUCUUAGGAUUGUAAAAUUCUUUCACCGGGGACGAUAAUGACGGUACCCGGAGAAGAAGCCCCGGCUAACUUCGUGCCAGCCGCCGCAGUAA
rnacentral:rRNA from 1 species